GUUGUUCUAUUUCCCAUUGUUGUUGAGUUUCUUUGUUUUGUCGCCUUAUUUCUCUUAUUUUUUAUCGGUAUCUUCUUUCUAGUGUUUUUUUUUUUUUUUUCUUUCUUCGUAUCGUUCAGCUCUUUUUGUUUUUUCUUCAUAAUAUUUUUCCAAACUGUCAGUAGCUUUUUUCCAAUCAAUGAGGUAGUCUGACUCUCUUUUCGACAUCUUUUACCUAUAGAUUAAACAAAAUAAAAAAGUCAAAUAGAAAAUAUUGAGUAUUAGAAUAGUUUUUCUAGUUUUACCUUAGUUAAUAAUGAAUUAUAUAUUGUAAUUUAUAUUAAAUUUUUUAAUUUUUUUUCUUGAAAAAAAAAUGUUUGAAGUUAGUUUGUUGUAAAUAUUCCAUUUUGAAACAGUCAUAUACCCAAAACUCUAUUUACUAAUUACCAUAAGGACAUGGUGAAAAAUGGAGAGAGGUGGAUGAAAGAAACAUCACAAGCAUGUAUGGUUGUUGCCACUCUCAUUCCAACAGUUGUAUUUGCAGCAGUCUUCACUGUUCCAGGAGGAAAUAAGAGUGAGACAGGGGUCCCUGUUUACCUAACGUCAGCAAUGUUCAUGGUAUUUAUCAUAGGAGAUUCACUAUCACUUAUGUCUUCCUGCACUUCAAUAUUGAUGUUCCUAGCUAUCCUUACAUCACGUUAUGCAGAAGAAGAUUUCCUCCUUUCAUUGCCUAGAAAGUUAAUACUUGGUCUUACGACCCUAUUCAUCUCUAUUGCCACCAUGAUGACAGCUUUUUGUGCAAGCCUUUUCAUUUUACUUCACGAUAAAUCUGAUCUAUUCCAUUUUCAGCAUUUCCGGAAAGAUCAUGGAACCAAAUUUUAAGCAAUUUAAUCAUAUUCACAUAGAAGAUACAAUUGUGUGUGCAGAUCUGCACUUCUACACCCCAAUCAUAAUGUAUUUUUUAGAAAUUACUUUAAUGAUCUUUAUUAAAAUAACAUAUGAGGGAAGUCUAAACUAUGAUUUGGUUACAUAUUGUCUAAUGGCUUUGCUAUAUGUUGAUCAACAUUCUUAAUUAGUGAAUAGUCAUCCAAUGAGCAAAGGGUAGUUAAGCUAUACGAUGAGCUAUUCAUUGUGUAAUUAGAAUCACUGGAUCUAAAAUAUAUUAACCUUCUUUCUACAUUCAAGACUUGUAAAAUGAAUUUUAUAGUAUUAAAAGAGCAUUAAAGCCUUACAGGAAAGGGAACCUCAUAAUUUUAUUAAUGAAUUAACUGGAAUUUGGUUUCUUAAUAGUAGUAUUAUUUCCUUAGAAUGUUUCAAUUAGCCUAAAAUAAGCAAACAGAACAUAACCUUAAAGCACACCAAAUUACCAAACCCAUCAAUUACCACUCAAUCCACAAAUAUAGUAUCUAAAACCUAGACAUGAAUAUCGCAGAAUAACAUAAUCAGCAAACCCUAAACCUUAAGAAAGCAGAAAUCGUCAUUGAUAUAGAUUGUAAUAAGACAAGCUUAGAAACCCCCCAAAAUAAUGUUCUAUCAAGAAUAAAUUGCUGGAAAAAGCCCUAACAAUUAGAACAAAGCGAAAAAAAGUACAGUAGUACUUACAAUGAUACGACCUUCAAUCCUCAAAUCCUUCUGCUCAAAAAGCCAAAUUUGAAUCCUAGCUUUCUG
rnacentral:lncRNA from 1 species